GGGCGGUGUAGCCAAG
rnacentral:tRNA from 1 species